rnacentral:rRNA from 1 species
GUACGCUGGCGGCACGCCUAAUACAUGCAAGUCGAACGAAGUAGCAAUACUUAGUGGCAGACGGGUGAGUAACAUGUAGGUAUCUUCCCUUUGGUGAGGAAUAACACGAGGAAACUUGUGCUAAUACCUCAUAAGUCUUUACGGAGAAAGCUUUAUGCGCCAUUGGAUGAGCCUGCACUUGAUUAGUUUGUUGGUGGGGUAAUGGCCUACCAAGACAAUGAUCAAUAGCUGAUUUGAGAGGAUGAUCAGCCACAUUGGGACUGAGACACGGCCCAAACUCCUACGGGAGGCAGCAGUAGGGAAUCUUGCACAAUGGGGGAAACCCUGAUGCAGCGAUGCCGCGUGAGUGAAGAAGGCCCUUGGGUUGUAAAGCUCUUUCGUCGGGGAAGAAAAUGACUGUACCCGAAUAAG